rnacentral:rRNA from 1 species
UUUCCUACGGGACGCAGCAGUGGAGAAUAUUGCACAAUGGGGGAAACCCUGAUGCAGCGACGCCGCGUGAGUGAGGAAGUAUUUCGGUAUGUAAAGCUCUAUCAGCAGGGAAGAAAAUGACGGUACCUGACUAAGAAGCCCCGGCUAACUACGUGCCAGCAGCCGCGGUAAUACGUAGGGGGCAAGCGUUAUCCGGAUUUACUGGGUGUAAAGGGAGCGCAGACGGCAGUGCAAGUCUGGAGUGAAAGCCCGGGGCCCAACCCCGGAACUGCUCUGGAAACUGUGCGGCUCGAGUACUGGAGGGG